UGGACUCCUAGAAAAAUCAAAAAGAAACAAGGAAAACAAACAGCAAAUACAGCAACAAACAGAAAAAAAUAACAACCACCAAAAUCGUUUGCCCGUUUGCCAUGCCAGGGGUGAUCUGGGCAUCUGUUGCAGCAGAAGGCGCUUGUGUGGGGCUAUUUUUUUUUUUUUUGGGGCAAGCUGUUGGCUUGUUUGCUAUUCAACUUCGUUUAUAAUUAACUUAAAAAAAAACAACAAUACGAUUCAGCCUAGUCAACAACAAACAAAGAGAAAAAGCAGACAUCGGAAGAGAAAUGCCAUAGAAAGCGGCAUGAAUGCAUGCCACAGCCGGUGCCACUUGCCAUUCGGGAAACCUCAGGGAAAGAAGCCAAUCUUACAGCUCUGAAGAUGCAGAGAAGGGAGCAUAAAGGUCUACAAAUAGAAAUCAUGAGGAAAGAAUACCACUUUUAACAUCUUGGAUUGCAAUUGCACACAGCCUCUGCUGGGAGAAGAGAGGGGUUAUUUAAAUGGAGAUAUAGAUGGGUAUAAAUGAAAAGAUAGGCACUUAUCAAUUGCAUAUAGACACAAAUGUAAGCUGUAUGUGUAUAUAAAUACACAUAUUUGCAGAUGAAUUAAACGCUUAGAUAUGUAUAUAUUUUUGUGUUAUAGGUAUGGAUAUGUACAUAGGUGUGUAUGUUUAUGCAUAUACAUACUAUGGGGGAUGUAUGCAUGUGUGAGAAAAAGGUGAGGAAGGCAGAGGAGAGAGAAGGAAUGGUGUGUAUGUGCAUGUAUGUGUGUGCAUACAUCCCACUUUUUGACCCAGGUAUACACAGAAGACAAAAUAAAAAUCAUACUCCAGCAGCAAGCAGGCAGCCAGAGAUUUAUCUACAUUCACUGCUAUCACCAGGGAGAUGAAUGGGGCCGAUCUGAAGCCCUUUUACAAGAUCCACUAUGGGAGUGAAGGAGGAGGAGGGAUGCCACACAGACAUGCACAAACUUGAAGGCAGAGGGAUUUGGAAGGGCUACUGAGGAAACCCUGGUGGCAUAAUGAAGGGGAGAAGAAGGGGAAAGAGGCUUGUCUCUAUGUUUUAGGUGGUUGUUUAAAAAAAAAAAAAUCUGCAAAAGGGUUUCAGGGAACGGCUGGUACUUACGUUGUCUGCGUUGCUGUGAAUCCUGAAAGGUGUUCUGUUGGCACUGGGCGCUGAGCCAGGGGCAGGCGUUGGAAACAAAAGGGAGAGAAAAAAAAAAUAAAGUCAUUCAAUGGGAAUAUUAAUUGCUGCUCGUGUGGAUCUUACAAAACACACAAACUGUUUUCUUUUUCUUUCUCUCUCUCUCUCUUUUUUUUUUUUUAAAUGUGGAUUGGCGCGUGUCCCUUUCGCAUGGAAUAUACAAGUAGUAUGGGAUUUACAGCCCAGUUACGGGACUCAGGAUUAACCGCACUGGCAUCUUUUGGGCAUAUUCGUCCUUUUAAUGAAUGAGCUUUCGCUGUUAAUGAGGAAUAAUCGUUUGGCUAAUGAGCUUUGAAACAUUAAGAGAAAAAGAGUUUUUUUUUUUUUUUUUUUUUUUUCCUUCCCCGUUAAUCGCUCUGGUGCGACUGCAUGGAUGGAUUACAAAAGACAGCAAUAGGAAUUCAGUACAAAGGGGGGGAAACCUCUCCUGGAGUGGGAGAAGCACCGAGAUGGGUGAUGUGUCCCUGCGUCUUUCCUUCCUUCUCUCUCCCUUUCACUCUGCCAACUGCUAUGGGUUUCCAUAACUCUGCAAUCAAAGUGGAUGGUCGGGAAGGAUUAUUACAAAGAGUGAAGCCUCCGCUGUUAAUGUCUCCAGUGUUUAAUCAUCAUACAGUAGAAUGGUUUUAUGCAUAUUUCAUUUGCAUAUCAUUAAACUGUGUUAGCGAGGGGCAUUCAGAGCCAGGAGAAGUACAAAGUUGGGGAGAGAGGGAAGAAAAAAAGGUCCCUAUGAUGCUUAUCUUCAAACAGGGACUUGUUCCAUGAUCUGUCUUCUACUUUUGCUAAAAUCAUUAUGACUUGGAAACCUUUGAAGUUGGAUACAACCUUGGAUUCUUCUAAUUCCUGCAGAGCGGUAUAUUUUAAAAAACAGCAGAAAUGUUCCUGCACUAGACAAUUAAAGGAAUAUAAACUCCAGUGGGUUGAAACUAGUAGCUCUUUGGGGAAUGCAGUGGCAGAGGCUUCUACAAAUACCAACACUUAAAAAAAUAAUAAAGAGCAUCACAUUAAAAACAAAGAAAACGAAGACAAGAAAUAUUAACGUGGAUUAUAUUUCUUUUGGGGGGUAAUGAACUAAAGAGAAUGAAGAAGCCAUCGGUAAUUUAUCCCAUCAUUAAUGAACAGUCACCUUUUUGUAUGUGUUUUUGUUCUUUCAUUUUGAAGAGGGAUGUUGACACUUUUGAAGCAAUUAGUCAAUUAUUUUGAAACUCUGAUCCUUUCCCCAUACACCCGACAGGAAAGCAAGGUGGUGGUUAGGGAAUAUGUGAGUAUUGGGGGGAUUUGGGGGGAGAGGAGGAAUACAUUGAGUUCUUUGUAGAUCUUAAACAUGCACAACAUAUUAAUUGGGGGCUUUUAAAGCUGCCUCAAUAGGCUAUUUCAUUCCUGGUAAAAGCAGCUGGUUAGCCACUGUUGGUGACUCUUCAAAUAUCACUUUAACUAUUUUUAUUCUAUCACUGUUAUUGUCUUGUUUUGUUUUUCUUCAGUCAAGAAUGAGAAUAUGCUACUCCUUCUUUAUUGCGUAUCUUUUCUCCUCCAUCUUCUUCACUUCCAAUUUCCAAAUUGUAAAACAAUGUUGGUUUAAUAUUGAAUCCUGGUGCACAGUCUAACUGGCACAACUUGAUUUGGAAAUGAGAUGCUGUUUUAUAUUUAAAUUAUCCCUGCUCCUCCCUUAUUCUCCAAAGCUUUGUCUCUGCUAUGAAUAUUCAGAUGAGGCAUGAUGUGAUUACACUGUACAAUUACUCCUAUCCAUGGUGGUGGCAGGGGCUGCUAGGGAGACAGAGCUAGACAGCCUCCAAGCUAAUACAGAGUUUUGUUUUCGGGAUUUUUCCUAUCUCCUUGGCACUGUGGUACAUGCAGAUGUCGCUGUUGUUCUUUAUAAAGCCCUAAUGAUAUGCAAAAGCAUAACGACUUGGUUUGGACGCAAAGCAUCAACGAAAUAUUAUGGAUGUCUUUAAGAAAGGGGGAGAGAAAAUCCUGACUGAAGGAAUGUCCACAUAAAUUAUUUUUAUUUAAAUGAAUUCAAAGGAUGGGGUGAGGGCAAGUCAGGAGGAGUCACAUGGAAAACAUGCAUAAUAUUAGUAUGCAUAAAGAAUUCUCACCCAGGAGAAGCUCCUCACUACAGCUCAUGGGACAAACAGGUUCAUUAGGAAAUAGCUCAGAGCGACUACAGCAUUUUGCUAUUUCAAUUUUUUCCUUAUUUUAAAUGAAGAGUCAGACAGAUGUGUUUUCUUUGCAUGGCAGCAUUGAGAUGGAUCCAAUCUGUGAAAUUUCCUGCCCAAAUAGCAUUUCUAAUGGAAACUGCAACUAAACAAGGGCACGGAUAUGGAAGGGAGGGGAGAAGAGAGAACAUAUGAAGAGGAGUAUAUUCAGAGCCACUGCAUGGCAUUUUGUGUAGUACAGGAGGUUUUCAGAAACCACCUUUGCUUCAUUAAUCCUAGAUAUGGGCUCCUGAUGCAGAGAGCUAUCAGGGUUUACCAAGAUGGGCACUGAGACAGGCCCUUCUAGGUCUGGGGCUGAGGAAAGCCGCGGCAGUGUGCCUGUCCCCAACCCACCCCCCAGCUGUCUACAGCUCAGAAGCCAAAAGCACAGCUACUCCUAAUUUGGGGAUGCAGUAGAGUGCCUCCUGGUCCAGCUUCUACAUCCUGGAGAACCACCCUGGGACUGUUCUACCAGCAGUGAUCAAAGAAAAUGAGAACAUUAGAACACUGACAUUUUAAUCUGUUCUGUACAAGAGUGAGUUGUGUCAACACAGUGCUCCCAGCUACAACACUGAAAAAAACAAGUUUAAUUAAAGACAGAGAAGAAACCGUAUGUGGAGCCUAAGCCAUUGAGAUACAAGGAAGAGUUGUCAUCUUCAGAGUGAGUUCUCUAAGAACAAAUCUCUGUCAGUGUCAAAAGGAAAAAAGAGAGAGAGACAAAGCAAAGCCAAAGUGUGAUUCUAUAAAGGAAAAACCUGGUGGUGUCAAAUGUCAACGUUCAGACUAAGAACUAAAAACACUGUUUCCAUUACACUGUUUACUUUCAGAGUCCAGACCAGACCCUACUCCUAGCAUCAUAAAACAUCUCUGGAUGUACAUAGAUACCUAUUAACCAUAGACACAUUGAACUACAAAAGGAGAAAAAGACUCAUGUCACAAUAAUGAUUUAGCAACAGUGAAUACUGCUUUUACUGGGUUUAUCCCAGAAUAUUGGCUAUUCUCUUUUCUCAGACUCUAAUUUGAAGGGCAAAUCAGCAUUACCACAAUGCUAUCUGCUAAAAUUAUGCACAAAUCUAACUACAUUUUUGCAAUACAUAGCUUGCUGCCUAUCCCCCCUGCCUUUCUGCCAGGGCACUCAAUUAUCAGAGAGGCCCUACAGGACAAUGAAAACAAAACAAGGCAAAAAUGACCCGGCUUUAGCUUUGGCCUUGCCAAUUUCCUAGCUUAGUAAGUCUUGGGUAAGUCACGUAAUAUAUUUGUGAUUACUUUCUCUUAUCUAUAAAAUAGGGAUAAUGCUACUUACUCAAGAGCCUUAUUGUAAGGCUUCAAUGAGAUAACAUAUGUAAAGUAUCAGGUUCAUUUGUUUAGCUCACAUAACACACACUACACAAAUAGUAUUCUUUCUGUAUUUAUUUAUGGAACAGAGUUCCCGGUAUACUACCUGGCUGUCCCUAAACUCACAAUCCUCCUGCUUCAGUCUCCCAAGUAGCUGAAAUUACAUGCAUGCACAACCAUGCCUGGCUUCUUAUUAACUUUUGAUUUUUAAGAUACUGGUCACUUGUCGAUUGUAUAUUAUCAUACCUUUGACUACAUCCUACAUUCCUUAGGACUAAAACUUCUUUCAAUCCUAUAUAAUAUAUCUCACUUCAGAAGGAAUAUUAGCAUUUACUGGUUUGUUCAUCCAUAUAUAACUGUGUUUUUCACAGCACAGUGUAACAGAAUGGCUGUCAGCAUGCUGAGCUCACUGUCAAAACCACCUGAAUUAACUGAUAAUAUUUCAAUCAGGCCACUCUUAAUCACUACACAACUUUUAGCAAGCUACUUUAGUAUGCCUCAGUUUCUUCAUUUGUAAAAUGUAGAUAAAACACUAUUAUUACAGAGCUGUUCUGAAGAUCAACUAUAUCAAAUAUAUGUAAAGCUAUUAGAAUGAAUGUGAACUAAGUAUGAGCCCUUAGAAAACAUUUGCUUAUGACUUGACAAUGUAUCUGCCUGAUGAAUAUUAGUCUAUAAUUGCUGUAUAGCAUUAGAUAUUUCUCUGAAUUUGUAUGUUAUAAAUUUGUAGGAAGAUGAAACAGGGUAAAUAUUUUGGUCAAUAGUUACAAAUAUGAUAGGAAUAAUAGAAAGAUGUAUAAAGAAAAACUUGACAAAUAUAAAACUAACUGAAUUAGAAUAUAAAGAAUCCAAUCUGUAUAAUUUUUAUGUUUGUAUAUGUCAGUUAAAAAAGAAAUCCAGGCUUUACAGAGGGGAAGAAACAGAACAAGCUUAUGUUGUCAUGAAAUUGAAACAAAAUACAUAAAAAUGCCAUAUUUUAACUGUAUUAGGGAAAGCAUCAUGGAGAAGACAGCAUGAAGAUUCAGACAGAUGAUGAGAAAACAAAUGUUAUUCAAAACAAUAGAAAUAAGAAGAGGUAUGAAAGGAUUACAAAGAGCCCAUGUGAAAGCCAGUACCCAGAUCUGUCUGCCUGGAGACAGGUUCUUGUAAGAGAAUAGUUCCUCUAAGAGAAUUUCUUUCCUUGGAGUUUAGAAAGCACACAAUAUGUACUCAUUAAGAUCUAAAAGAUAGGAUAAAUUCUAAUCAAAAACAUUUUCAAAUUCUACAUUAAGUAGAGCUUUCCAAUGGGUAUGCCAAGGCAUAUCGGUGUGCCUAAAUUAAGUGACCAAUGUACUAAGAAUUGUGAGCCUCUCAGCCCUUGGGGUAUAAAUCCUCUAGCUAUAGAUGGCUGGCCUACUCCCUCUGUGUGCCAUUCAAACAUAAUUUUCUAAACAUAAAAUGCCAUAAAAAGUUGUGAAACAAUGGGUUAAAUAAUAUGGCUAUUAUGCAAUGAGACAAAGAAAACUAAGUGGGAGAGAAAAUGAUAUACAAUGUCUUUGCCUAAUCUGGUGGCAUUGUGGAAGAUCAAAGAGAGGAAAGACAAGUGGCAAAAGAGUAGUUAAGUAAGUGCUGUAAGGCAACAAUAAAUGUUGGCAAGGAUGUGAGGGUAAAGGUACAUUCAUACAUUGCUGGUAGAACUGCAAACUGGUGCAACCACUAUGGAAAGCA